GGGCGAGGCGCGGCCCCAGCGGGGCGGGAGUCCCGGCGCCGCCUCCCCGCCUUCCUUCCCCUUCCCCCUCUCCUUCCCGGCGCCCGAGGUGGGGGCGAUGCGGGAACAUGGCUGGCGCCUUGGCACGGCGGCAGCGCGGGGGAGGGAGUUGUGUUGGCUAGAGCUGGCUCAUCCUCCCCGCAGUAGCGGCUGAGGAGCGCCGCGUGUCUCCGUCGCGCCUGCGGCUCCUGCAGCGGAGGCUCUGCGGCGGCUUCCCGUCGCCCUCACGGCUCUGCCGGAGGCUCGAGGGGGGAUUCCGCCUCCAGUGUGUGGGUCCCUCGCAGCCCGGUGCCUCGGGCGCGGCUCGGGCUCGCUGGCCCGCCCGGCUGCUGCUCGGAAGGCUCGGCGGGGAAUGCGGGACAGACGGACAGACUGUGCCCGCGUCUGGCAGGGUCCGUGUCACGGGGGCGGGCAGGGACACCCUGAGGCCCCGAGCUCUGCUCUUGCGGCCUCUCUUCCUCAGGUGUGUCUUCCCGCUGAGGCUUCUCCGCACCGCAGCGGGCGCCGGUGGGAAAAGGAGGCUGCUCUCUCAGCUGUCUGUGCUCACAAACCUGCUGCAAAUUGUGUUUCUGUAAAGGCUGGAGAAGGAGGAUGUCUGUGCCUUCAGGAGCUUUCUCCCUGGCAUUGUUCAUGGGGCCGUGGCCAAGGCAAGAAUAGGAGGGACAUUCUGGCCCACAGUAUGGAGUUAUGACUGCAACACUAAAAGUGUUGUCUUCAGUUUAUUUGAAGUCUCACCCUAACGGCUUACAAUUGAUGGUAUAAAAUUCAUUCUUUCAAUUAAAGUGAUCACCCCCUAUCAAGCUG